rnacentral:rRNA from 1 species
GUAAGAAUCUUCCGCAAUGGGCGAAAGCCUGACGGAGCGAUGCCGCGUGAGCGAAGAAGGCGGGAACGUUGUAAAGCUCUUUUCUCAGGGAGGAAUAAGGGGGAGAGGAAAUGCUCCUCUGAUGACGAGAACUGAGGAAGAAGCCCCGGCUAAUUACGUGCCAGCAGCCGCGGUAACACGUAAGGGGCGAGCGUUGUUCGGAAUUAUUGGGCGUAAAGGGCGUGUAGGCGGCUAUGUAAGCCUGGUGUGAAAGACUUCAGCUUAACUGGAGGCUCGCGCUGGGAAUUAUGUAGCUUGAGUAUAGGAGGGGGAGCUAGAAUUCCAGGUGUAGGGGUGAAAUCUGUAGAUAUCUGGAAGAAUACCGGAGGCGAAGGCGAGCUCCUGGCCAUAUACUGACGCUGAGGCGCGAAAGCGUGGGGAGCGAACAGGAUUAGAUACCCUGGUAGUCCACGCUGUAAACGUUGUGCACUAGGUGUCGGCCUUACGGGGUCGGUACCGGAGUUAACGCGUUAAGUGCACCGCCUGGGGAGUAUGCUCGCAAGGGUG